UACGAAGGGGGCUAGCGUUGCUCGGAAUCACUGGGCGUAAAGCGCACGUAGGCGGAUUGUUAAGUCGGGGGUGAAAUCCUGGAGCUCAACUCCAGAACUGCCUUCGAUACUGGCGAUCUUGAGUCCGGGAGAGGUGAGUGGAACUCCGAGUGUAGAGGUGAAAUUCGUAGAUAUUAGGAGGAACACCUGUGGUGUAGACGGCUCUCUGGACCGCAACUGACGCUGAGACACGAAAGCGUGGGUAGCAAACAGG
rnacentral:rRNA from 1 species